rnacentral:rRNA from 1 species
AGUGAACGCUGGCGGUAUGCCUAACACAUGCAAGUCGAACGGCAGCACAGUAAGAGCUUGCUCUUACGGGUGGCGAGUGGCGGACGGGUGAGGAAUACAUCGGAAUCUACUUUUUCGUGGGGGAUAACGUAGGGAAACUUACGCUAAUACCGCAUACGACCUACGGGUGAAAGCAGGGGAUCUUCGGACCUUGCGCGAUUGAAUGAGCCGAUGUCGGAUUAGCUAGUUGGCGGGGUAAAGGCCCACCAAGGCGACGAUCCGUAGCUGGUCUGAGAGGAUGAUCAGCCACACUGGAACUGAGACACGGUCCAGACUCCUACGGGAGGCAGCAGUGGGGAAUAUUGGACAAUGGGCGCAAGCCUGACCCAGCCAUACCGCGUGGGUGAAGAAGGCCUUCGGGUUGUAAAGCCCUUUUGUUGGGAAAGAACAGCAGCAGGUUAAUACCCCGCUGUUCUGACGGUACCCAAAGAAUAAGCACCGGCUAACUUCGUG